rnacentral:rRNA from 1 species
CCUACGGGAGGCAGCAGUGGGGAAUAUUGGGCAAUGGGCGUAAGCCUGACCCAGCAACGCCGCGUGAAGGAAGAAGGCUUUCGGGUUGUAAACUUCUUUUGACAGGGAAGAGGAGAAGACGGUACCUGUCGAAUAAGGCACGGCUAACUCGGGGCCAGCAGCCGCGGUAAUACGUAGGUGGCAAGCGGUGUCCGGAUUUACUGGGUGUAAAGGGCGGGUAGCCGGGUUGAAAAGUCAGAUGUGAAAUCCAGCGGCUUAACCGCAGAACUGCCUUUGAAACUGUUGAUCUUGAGUACUGGAGAGGCAGCCGGAAUUCCUAGUGUAGCGGUGAAAUGCGUAGAUAUUAGGAGGAACACCAGUGGCGAAGGCGGUCUGCUGUACCGCAACUGACGGUGAGGCGCGAACGCGUGGGGAGCAAACAGGAUUAGAUACCCUUGUAGUC